UUAAAAAAAAUAUUCAAUUAUAGUAGUGUUUUAAAAGUUAAAUGAAGAAUAAACGUAAAUAUAAAAGCUCUGACUUUGCCCUGUAUGUAUGAUGACUUCAGUGAGCAAGAAGUUGUUUAAUACCUGUAAAAACUACUUUUAAAAAAGUUCCCCUAGCAUCUGUUAGGCCAUACCUUGUAACUGAUUUCAGCUGUGUAUGUGGACAAACUUAGACUGAAAUACUAGGUAUAUGUGUUGAUUUCAGUGUAUGACCCUUCAUUGUUAAGCUAUAAAAUUAAAACUCUGUAUUUAACUAGCAAAAAAAAAAAACUGUUCAGACAAAAUAAAU
rnacentral:lncRNA from 1 species